AGGACGAACGCUGGCGGCGUGCUUAACACAUGCAAGUCGAACGAUGAUCCGGUUUCGGCCGGGGAUUAGUGGCGAACGGGUGAGUAACACGUGGGCAACCUGCCCUCCACUCUGGGAUAACUCCGGGAAACCGGGGCUAAUACUGGAUACGACCUUCGGGCGCAUGCCUGGGGGUGGAAAGUUUUUCGGUGGAGGAUGGGCCCGCGGCCUAUCAGCUUGUUGGUGGGUGAUGGCCUACCAAGGCGGUGACGGGUA
rnacentral:rRNA from 1 species